CUCACGCGGGCUGGCGGACCCUCGGCUUUACCCCGAUGGCCCGAUCCGGUGUUGUGGGCCAUGGACUCCAUGAGCUCGCGACAAUGCCCGCGGCGGAGCAACCGGAAAAAGGGAAUUUU
rnacentral:sRNA from 1 species